GUUACCUGGUGUUAAAUGGUAUUUAUUUUGAGAUAACGAAGACAAACAAAUAGUUAUUACAUUGAUGCCUGGUCGGCACUAUAUGUUUUUGUCAUGAGAUAACAUUGGGAGUUACCUGUCCACAACACAUAGAUCUACCACGCAUUGCUAACUUUGUAAUUUCCCUUCAUUCUCAUUGAAGUUUUGCGGUUUAAAAGGCAGUUCUUUCAGGUUUAUCAUCAGCUUUGAUACUGGGAUUAUCGGAGGAUUAUUUGUGAAGAUUGCUGGAAUUUUUCUUUAAAGAAUAAAUGACAGUUUGUCAUCAGUAUUGACAAUAGGUUUAUAUGGAAGGGAUUUUUUAAAAUUGAUCUUCGACCAAAUUUAAUAUAUCACUUUUCAGACUACAUCUGCAGUUUAAAUAUUUUAGCAGCCAUAAUUUCAGAAUAUUUCAUUUUAGUGCCGGAAUUGAAUUAAUACGUUUGAAAUUAACAUAAUUGUUAAUUAAGGAAACUGUUUUAUUAAAAGUAUCAAACUUGAAUACAAGGAGAGUUGAAACAGUUUGAAAGAUAAAGAAAAUGGAGGUAACGGCAGAAAAUGGAAUAAGUGUUACAGAAAACUCUGAGAAAAUGGAGGGUAAUGUUGAUAAAAUGAAAAAUUCUGAUGAUGGAAAAGCAGAAAAUGUAAAUACAGAUGGAAAAGCUGAAAUGGAUGCUGAGAGUGAUAAAACUGAUGAUGCUAAACCACAUGAAAGUGUCGAAGAUAAAGUAGAAGAUUCUGCUGAGAAAUCAAAUGAAACUGAUGAGGAUAAGUUAGGGACAGAAACUGUGCCAGAGGGAGGGGAGGGAAAUGUUGAGGGAAAUGAUGAAGAGCCACAGGGAGCCUCUGAGGUUGAAGCUGUUGAAUCAAAGACAGAAAUAGAUACUUCCAGGUCUGCAACAAAUGAACAAAAGGAAAAUUCUGAUGAGGAAGUGCCUCCACCAGAGCCUGAAGCGGAACCGCCGGCAGAACCACCAAGCUACAACUGAGGUAAAGGAAGCUGAUGAAGAAGCUGAAGAAACGCAUCCGGAACCUGAUCGUAUACCUACUCAAGAACCGGUACCUGUUGCUGCGGAAACGCCAUCACACAACUAUCACCCACGAGUCUGUCGCAUCACUAAAUGGCCCGACUUUCAGGGAUAUGGCUUCAACCUGCAUGCUGAGAAAGAUAAAACGGGCCAGUAUAUCGGUCUUGUUGAUGCUAAUUCGCCAGCAGAGAGUGCUGAUUUAAGAAAAGGUGAUAGAAUUAUUGAAAUAAAUGGAGAAAAUAUCGAAGAUGAGACCCAUCAACAGGUUAUUCAGAAGAUUAAGGCUGGUGGCAACGAGACGAAGAUGCUUGUUGUCGAUGCUGAAGCUGAUGAGUACUAUAAGAAUAAUGGAAUCCGAAUAACAUCGGACCUGCCAGAGGUUAUUUUCAACGAAACCAGUAGAAAAGAAAUAUCAGAACGAGCACCCACUCCCGAACCUGUCCCUGUUGUUACAGACACUCCAUCACACGACUUUCACCCAAGACUCUGUCACAUCAAAAAGUGGCCCGACUUCCAAGGUUACGGCUUCAACCUGCAUGCAGAGAAAGAGAAGAACGGCCAGUAUAUUGGUCUUGUUGAUGCUAACUCACCAGCUGAAGAUGCCGGUUUAAGAAAAGGCGAUAGAAUCGUCGAAGUAAAUGGCGAGAAUAUUGAAGGUGUGACCCAUCAGGAAAUAAUUCAAAAGAUAAAAGCGGGUGGUGACGAAACAAGACUGCUUGUUGUUGAUUCAGAUGCUGAUGACUUUUAUAGAAGUAAUGGAAUCAGUAUAACUGCUGACUUGCCUGAAGUUAUAAGGAGUGAGACUAGAGAAAAGGAGGUGCCAGCAAUGACCUUCCAUCCUAGACAAUGUCAUGUGAUCAAAUGGCCUGAUUUCCCUGGAUACGGAUUUAACCUUCAUGCUGAGAAAGAACGUGGUGGACAGUAUAUCGGUAAAAUAGAUGACAAUUCGCCUGCUCAAGAUGCCGGGGUACGUGAGCAUGAUAGAAUCAUUGAAGUGAAUAAUGUUAACAUUGAAAAUGAAACACAUCAGCAGGUUAUUGCUAGAAUAAAAGCUGGUGGUGACGAAACAAAAUUAUUGGUCGUUGACAAAGAGGCAGAUGCUUACUACAAAAGUCGUGGAAUCACUGUGACUUCAUCAAUGCCAGAAGUGCAAUUCCUGCAGACAACUAGACGAUCACCUAGAAGCAGCACAACUGUAACAAAUGGAGACAGUACCCCAGCACCAGCCCCUGUACAAGCCUCGCAGCCAACACGAGUGUACAACUAUAGGAGAGAACCGGCUGUACAGAAGAGUGAGCCAGCACAGGCAAACGGUGGUGACUUCCUGAACCUGUCGGCCAAGGAAAUGCGGGAACGAAUUGCGCAGAAGAAGAAAAACGACCCAAAACAUAAAUCCAAUAUGGACUUUAAAUCUAAAUAUGAGAUUUUCCAGAAAAUGUGAUCUAUUAGUAUAACAGAAGUCUAGUUAACUGAAAUUAUAUAUAUAUAUAUAUGUGUAUAUCAAUAUAUAGCAUUGUGUUUGCCAAUAGUGUAAAGAAGAUGGUCGCAGUUUUUUUUUGCACAGUUAUAGAUUAGUGAAACCAUUAAUGGAUAUACUUAAUAAUCAAAACAUUUUUUUGACCAAGAAAUGAUGUCAUCAAAAACUUAAAGUCUAAGAAAAGAAAUACGUUUAGUGAGAAAUGAUAAUAGUAGGUGUUCUUUCUUGUAUUUACUACUAGAAUAUUUGUCACAAAUUGCUGCACUUACAAAAUUUAUGCAUUUAUGCAAUAUGAAUACAGAUUUUGGGAUGUCCAUAAUAAGAGUUGUGACUUUUAUUUCUAACGGCCAAAUCCUUGAGAAAUCUGUGAUAAAAAUGUAAUUAACAUUGAUUUUCUAUGAAAACAUGAUUAUAGAUUAUCGUAAAUUUCUAGUACGGAUUAUUUUGUUGAGCACAGUGUUUCGGCAUUGAAAUGUUUGCAUCAGAAUCAUCAAUAAAAGAGAGUAGAAAACUAUGUAUGAGCUUUAAAAUAUUAUAUAGGCAAAAAAUACAUUUCGUGUUUGGCUAUAUUAAGUUGUAAAUAUUUUGUAUAAGCAUAUAGCACAAUCUUUUCAUAGAGAGCAAUCACCCACUUCAUGAAAGCAGUCAUUUAUUGUGUAACAUGUGUGUAUGAGACUUCAUUAAUCACAAAAUGUACCUUGCUUCAAUGCUUCUAGUUUUCCUUGCUCAAAUUAGGAAAAAGUGAUUAUUUCUUUUUUGAGGGCGACAGUACACUAAAAUAUACUAACAAUUUGCCUAUUUUCUGUCAUAGGUAAUUAAAAGUGUGUUUUUGAUCAACAGCUUUUCCUGGUUGUAUAGUUUUAUUUCGAUGUGUAAAAAAAGUUCGAAAGAUCUCGCUUAAGACAAUUUUUUUUAUGACUAGGCCUUAUAAUUUCUUACAUUUUAUACAUUAUCUGAUCUUAAAUAAGAAAGUUUUACUAAGGCCUGUGUUUAUAGUGUUACAUCUUUUUGAAUUAAUAGGUCAUAUCUUGAUGGUAUUUCCUCGUAAAAGUCAAAAUUAUUAACAGUCAAAUAGUGAUGCAAUGGUAUUUUAAAUGAGGGCACGACUUUAAUAGGCCAUGUUGCUGUCAUUUGGAAAUUAUCAUGAUUUGUUUCGACAUUGUUAAAGUAUGUGAUAUAACAGUAGCAAACGUUAAAUUGAAUUUUUAAUACCUUGCCUGGAGCACAAAAUGCCAAAAAUAGAAGUACAUUUGACGUUAUUAUGAUCAAUCUAUGUAUUUAAUACUUUUAUACUUAAUAAAGUUUUCAAGUUUAAGACACAUAUAUGUACAUGCACAUCAGGUAGGGUUAGAAAAUGCAAUGUUUCCAGUCAGUCAGCAAAUGUUUUUCUAAAAGCAUUUAAUUGAGGGCAAGAAAAUGAUUAUUUCGUAGUUAUAAAAAUGUGUUAGUUUAUGGCUGAAAAUAAGUUUUGCCUUCCAAUGACAUUAAUAAUUUAGUUUCUACUACUAAAACUACGGUGAAUGCAGGCAGGGAAAUUACUCCUGAGGCUAUUCAGAUAUCUAUAUCAUUAUCUCCCUUGCUUCUUAAAAAGCAUAUAAGAAUGGAAUGUCAAAGUGAAAAAGUAGAAAUUAAGAAAAACUUCAAAACUGAAGAAAACAGAUUAUCUGUCUGUGGUUAGACUAGUUUGUUGUUAUAAAGACAUGCUGAAAGAUCUAAUUUAUGUGAGAGAAAUAUUGUGUGUUUAAAUGUAUAGGAGGCCUGAUAUAUUUGUUCAGUCAGACAUCAGUACACAAGCAUAUAUACAGUAUCUAACAAGUUUAUAAGAUUCUGACAGUGUGUCUUAACUGUAUUAAUACACUGAGUUAGUUAUAGCAUGCUGCACAUGAAUGAGAACCAUAUGAAAACAUGCAAUCUACUGAGUUGUGAACUGUGUACAAUAUCACCUAGGGUUGUGAAAAUUGUUUUAUUGUGAAUCAUCUAAUAUAUUGAUACAUUUCACUGCAUUUAGUGAUGUAUAUUAUAUCAACAGUUGUAUGUGGCAGGUUUUUUCUGUAAGUUUGUAAAAGAAAUUUUGAUUAAUUUCUCAUGUAGCUCGCUGACAUAAAUUCAAUAAAUUGUAAUACGGUAGUUAGUGAUAAAGAUACAGUGUGUUAGGCUUUCACUACAUGGAGCCUGCCAUGUUAACUCAAUAGGUACAGACAGGGCAUUGAAUCCGAGGUUGCAGGCGCAGUCCCAAAAUCUGGUAUAUGUUCUCUGUGAUUAUUUGUCCUCCACCCAUAAUUUAUGUGAUAGGUUGUUAAUUACUGAAAAAAGGUUGACACUGGUAAAGAAUGUUAGGACAUGGAUCAAGCUAAUUGACUUUGGUAUAUAUCUUGAGCCAUGUAACUAGGGCCCAGUAAAAAUGUAGCUGAAAUACUGUUGAAAAGCAGCACAGUACCCAGUGAUCCUAGUAUACAGCAGAAAGAUGUAGACAUAAGUUAACUUGAUGACUAA
rnacentral:misc_RNA from 1 species